ACUCCUACGGGAGGCAGCAGUAGGAAUUUUCCGCAAAUGGACGAAAGUCUGACGGAGCAAUGCCGCGUGAGUGAUGAAGGUUUUCGAAUCGUAAAGCUCUGUUGUAAGGGAAGAAUAGCAAGAAUAGGAAAUGAUUCUUGUCUGACGGUACCUUACCAGAAAGCCACGGCUAACUACGUGCCAGCAGCCGCGGUAAUACGUAGGUGGCAAGCGUUAUCCGGAAUUAUUGGGCGUAAAGCGCAUGUAGGCGGCUUUUUAAGUCUGAUGUGAAAGCCAGUGGCUCAACCACUGAAUUGCAUUGGAUACUGGAAAGCUAGAAUCUUGGAGAGGUAAGUGGAAUUUCAUGUGUAGCGGUGGAAUGCGUAGAUAUAUGAAGGAACACCAAUGGCGAAGGCAGCUUACUGGACAAGUAUUGACGCUGAGAUGCGAAAGUGUGGUAGCAACAGGAUUAGAUACCCUGGUAGGCUCUG
rnacentral:rRNA from 1 species